rnacentral:ncRNA from 1 species
GGGAGCGUGGUGAAGGGAAACUUUCACGCCACGAUCUAAAUGGGAGGUGCCCCGGAUAAUACCGGGCAUCGACCCAACCCAAU